AUUGUAGUAGGUGAAUGGUGUCUGUAAAAGCCCUUGUCCUGGUGUAGAACUCAAUACAUUAUCAUAGUUUAAAAGAACUAAAAUAAUUAUAUUUAGUUGUCAUAAUAUAGUUUUUUAUAAGUAUUCAAACAACUAACUUCAUAACUAUCAAUGAAUGCAAUUAAAAGUCAUUUAAUGUAUUUUCAAAUUCAAUUGAAAUUGUGUCCUCAGUUUUUGUCAACACCGUCAGACAUAGAAAGAAUGUGAAAAAAAUCAGGCAUUAUUGAAGGGCACCAGAAAUUCUGAGGACCCCAUGACCACUUCCUUUCUCUUCCUGUGCUUGGGGGGAUAAGCAGCUCUGGCUACAAUGGCCAGAGAAAAGCUGUCAGUGGAGGAGCGCAAGAGAAGGAACAGGGAGUAUCAGAAAAGAAGGAGAGAAAAAAUAAAUAGCCAGCCUGAGCUGAAGGAAGAGUUUUUAAGAAAGGAAAGGAAAAGAUGGAGACAGAGAGUGGAAGAGGGAAAAAUAAAACAUAUCAAUAAUCUGGGUGAAAGAGAUAAGAGACGUAAGAGAAGACUUUGGAAGCAAAAACAAAAGGAGGCAAGA